GACAGAGGGUGCAAACGUUGUUCGGAAUUACUGGGCGUAAAGCGCGUGUAGGUGGCGAGGCAAGUCGGGUGUGAAAGCCCUGGGCUCAACCCAGGAAGUGCACUCGAUACUGCCUAGCUAGAGUCCCGGAGAGGUUGGUGGAACUCUCGGUGUAGAGGUGAAAUUCGUAGAUAUUCGCAAGAACACCAGUGGCGAAGGCGGCUCACUGGCCCGGCACUGACGCUGAGGUGCGAAAGCGUGGGGAGCGAACAGG
rnacentral:rRNA from 1 species